GGCCGACUAGCUCAGCUGGUUAGAGCGUCGUGCUAAUAUUCUUCAUGAAUAAAUACGCGAAGGUCUUGGGUUCGAUCCCCACGUUGGCCA